rnacentral:rRNA from 1 species
UACAAAGGGGGCUAGCGUUGUUCGGAAUUACUGGGCGUAAAGGGCGCGUAGGCGGUGUGUCAAGUCAGGCGUGAAAGCCCCGGGCUCAACCUGGGAACCGCGCUUGAGACUGGCACGCUCGAGUUCGGGAGAGGAUGGUGGAAUUCCCAGUGUAGAGGUGAAAUUCGUAGAUAUUGGGAAGAACACCGAUGGCGAAGGCAGCCAUCUGGACCGACACUGACGCUGAGGCGGCGAAAAGCGUGGGGAGCAAACAGG